rnacentral:rRNA from 1 species
UUUUAGUUUAGUGGCGGACGGGUGAGUAACGCGUGGACAACCUGCCUUCACAGGGGGAGUAGCAGCUGGAAACGGCUGGUAAUACCGCAUACGCUCGUGUCACCGCAUGGUGAUAUGAGGAAAGAUUUAUCGGUGAAAGAUGGAUCCGCGUCUGAUUAGCCAGUUGGCGGGUAACGGCCCACCAAAGCGACGAUCAGUAGCCGGCCUGAGAGGGCGGACGGCCACAUUGGGACUGAGACACGGCCCAGACUCCUACGGGAGGCAGCAGUGGGGGAUAUUGCACAAUGGGCGCAAGCCUGAUGCAGCGAACCGCCGCGUGAGUGAAGAAGUAUUUCGGUAUGUAAAGCUCUAUCAGCAGGGAAGAAAGGCCCGCAAGGGAGAUGACGGUACCUGACUAAGAAGCCCCGGCUAACUACGUGCCAGCCGCCGC